GGGUACUAUGGUUAGGCUGCAGUUGGACUUGAUGAUCUUUGAGGUCUUUUCUAACCUGAGUAAUUCUAUGAUUCUUAGCACUGAUCUCAGGCUGGGAUGCAUAAGGCUUUGGCUAAAAGUAAGGAGUAAUGACAAACUUGAAUCCAUGUGCUCUUUGCUCCCGGUUCUCUCUUUGUUGUGGAGGACUGAGUACAUGGAGUGGCGCUCUCUCUUUCUCACAAUGUUACAGCCAAAACGUUCUGCACAGCCUGUAGUGCUUAACACUUUGAAAGCAUAGCAGUGACUGUGCUACGUGCUGUGAGCUGAACCAUGAACACAUGCAGAGCCAACUUUCCUCUGCUCCUGGAGUCCCAGGAAUUUCUCCCAUGUCCCUGAUGAACUGAUUUGGUGUCGCUGUUCUUCACCGGGAGAAGGUAUUUUAGGUAGUAAUAAUAUUAAAAAUGAAUAAAGAUAAAUCGUUUGAAGUUUUCCCGGUGUUAAUUGUAAGAGAUGGUAGAAAUCAAUUUGGCAUUAAUUUACUUUCAUGUCAAACACUCAACAUAAUUAAGAAAAGUGUCAUCUAAACUUUCGAAUUAAAAUUAUAUGUAACACAGACUCCUCAUUAUCAUACUAAUACCUGUGAAAAGCUGUUUUCAGUUUCAAAGCUUCACAGCCUCUUUAGAAUCAGACUUCAAAGCCUCCUGGUGAGAAUUAUGGGUAGGGAGGUUAGGACUUAAAGCAAGAUUUCUUUAAUAUUAUCCUUCAAGUGGGAGCACUUGUUUCAGUUGUUAAUUCCCUUUUCUAGAUUUCACACAUGCAGCGAAGCAUGACUAUCAGUGUUACACCCUGGUUACCAUUUGCAAGGUACCUGCACAAAUAAAUAACAGGCGUUACUCUCCCUAAACCUAACAGAAAUUGUCCGUACGAAUCACAGGCAUGAUUUAAAACCAUAAUCCAGUAUACAACUGUGGGUUUAUUCUGGAAGAAAGCUAUUUGUGUUAGUAUUAAUUACUGCCAAAUUAGAAUAGAGAAACAAACCUGACUGAGGAAAAUGCAUUGUGUGCCAUUUGCUUUGUAAUUGUGCCAGUACCUGAUCAUCCUUCCAUAGAUAUGAGACAUCAGGAAAAGCACUUGAGCUGUUUUGUUUUAUACCUGCUUUGCUUUAAAUUUUUUCCUCUGUAAGCUGCUGCAUCCAACCAUGUUUUCAGCAUUCCAAGCUAUGGCAAGCAUUUUUUUUUUUUUUUUAUUCCCUCUAUUUUAUUUCUGUUUAAUCUUUUACAAACUGAUCAAGAAAAGAGUUCCUGCCGGUCACCAUCCCUUUUUUUACUAUGAGUCAUCCAACCCCUCCUGUGUCUGCUGCUGGACUUCAAAGCAGUGACCUCAGAUUGUUACAUGUGCCUUACUGAUAGCAAGUCGGACACAGGAUUAGUAAUUUCAUCUUGAUGCCACCUGAUGACCUGUGAAAUAGGAGUAUGAGAAGGAACCUUUUUUCCAAGUAACAUUUUUCCACAUAAGUCAUACCUCUUUAGAAAUAUUAGUGCCUCGAAUAACAGGAGAUAAGAGGUAACAACUUCUGUGAGUGGGAGGGAGGAUGAGCUGUGCAAAAAGCCUUUCUCAUAAUUAUUUUUUUCCAAAAGAUUUGGAAACCCAUGUAUCAGCUGAAGAAUAAGGAAGAAAAUCAAAGAGUAAAGCAAAAAACAGAAAGGCUAUCAUUCUUCAUUAGCAGAGAAUAUGUGUGCCUUUGUAGCAAAGCAAAAAGCAACUGCUGGGCAGGAGAUCAUCUCAAUGGGAAGAAAUAAGGAGAUUCCCUUGCCAAGUUUUAAGAAAAUUACCCCUAUAGGGUUUUGACCAGCCUGUCAGUGGGAGACCAGAAACAGCCUGUUUUGACUACUCAGAAGGAGCUCUGGAAAGUUUCUAGUAUGUAUCUCAGAUCAUUGGGUAAUUUGGUUUUACAUAGCUGACAGCACUGGCCCCGGGACUCCUGAAACCCCAACGCUUAAACAAGUGGAAAGAUUUGACUUCUACUUAGGAAAUUAAAUGCAGUUAAACUUUGUCACUAGCAAAGUUACACUCUCAGUGUGCUGUAGUAAAAGCCAUGAGGAAAUUUACCACGUAUGCCACUAUAUACAUAGGAUAUGAUUUAGUUUAUAUAGUGGCCACACCGGCAGAUGCAGGGUUCAGAGUACAACACAUAAGACAUCUUUAUUACCUCCUUCCAUGUCUAUAUAAAUGAUACUCAGCUCAACAAACCAAGUUUAUUUUCAACCAAACUACGCUCAAACAAAAAUAGAACAAAAUCUGCACUUCUUAGGUGCCACCAAAAUGAUUCCUAUAAAGACAAUGCUUUUCAUUAGAGGUGUCAGCAGUUCAGAACUGCAUCUUCGCUUGUCUUUGUGUAAGGGGGCGCUUACUCAAACAGAUCAAACAUCUCAGUGCUUAGAAAAGGAGAACACUGGUGUCACAGAUGCUGCCUACUUGGCGUAGAAUGACAGAAAUCAAUGAAAAGAAGUGACACUUGAAAGUAUGGAGCUACUUUUGAGAGCCUGACGUGAUGGUGCAAAGUUGUAUUAGGUGUGAGAAGCUUCGUAGACAUGGUGACACAGGGGCCCUGCAAUACCAUUGUGUGAUGAGCACUCAAAUAUCUGGACCACUGAAUGCAAACCAGGCCUUAACACAUUAUAAAUUCUUCACUUCCAUCAACUGUCAGUGAAAUGGGAAUGCAAACAAAUGUGUGAUGUUGCACUUUAAUGAAAAACACGACUGAAGCUAUCCUCAAAGGGACUCUGCUACUUACCUCUCACAUCCUAGAUGUAAGAAUAGCACAACAACUCAUGAUAAAAGAUACCAGAUAUGAAACUCUGGAUCUUAUUAUGUGAAAAAAUCAUUACAGAAAAUAACAUUUCUUACAGAUAAGGAGCUUCCUCAUUUAUGAAUGUUGUGUCUUGGCUUGGUUAUUACAUUCGUUUUCUGGGCUUAGGGGGUUGAUAAUAAAACUCAGGCAAAACUUUCGACAGCAAUUUAAGUAAUAAAAAAAAACUACUUUAAAAAAAAACCUACUUUACUGCUAUAGGCAUCAUCUCCCGCCCCACCCUCACUUACCCCAUGUUGAGCUGACAGGGCAGAAGGGUUUGCUCAGAAAUUUGGAGCAGAGACCGCAAUCUUAAGCUGCAUUAUGCUACUGGACAUGAGGUUACUUAGUGUCUUGUGGGAUAGUGUGCAUUUCCCUGGCUCCUGAGGAGGAAAGGAGAAAAGCAAUGUUGUAGUGUUGGAAGGAGAAGUCAGAAAUGCAAAGUUUUCCACUGUGAUCCCAUUUCUACAGUAAGGAAAUUGGGAUGUGCAGGACAUACAGCAGGGAUGGGCCACCAAUAGCUUCCCUAGAGAACCUAUUCCAGGGGUUAACUGCCCUUACAUGAAAGAAUGUCAUUCAAAAUUUGAGGAAAGAGAACCAUAUGGAAGAACUUAUGAUGAGAGAAGAUAUGUCACAUGUAAUAGAGAGCAGAAAGAACAAGACAUGAGGAUUUCUGUGGGGCAGCAUGACAAAGGAAUUGCCCUGAAGUACACAGGUCUUUAAUGCCUGAGUGGAAACAACAGCUCAUGUCCAACAACUCAGCACCUUUGCAAGGGAGGUCACCCCUGGUUUAUGAUGCUUAGCUUAGAUUUGUAACCUGGCUUCAUGUUUCAAAGAUGUGAAAACUUCAAAGCACUUCAACAUGCCUGUCCUAUAAAUCAAAAGACGGUCUAUCGGACACCUUCUUGUCCAAAGAAACAUGAACUAGCUGAGGGAGGGACAAAAUGUAAAUCCUGAAACUGAUUAACUCAGACUCCAAGAUUCAAGAGGACUUCUGAGCUGAAAUGAGAUUCUCCUUUUGUGACUAAAGAUUGCCAUAAUGCUCAGUUAUGAAGGUUAAUGUAUUUUGAAGCAACGCAUAUGGUUUGUUUUGCUCGUGGAUGUUAUUUAGCAUUCAGUUGUACUCAACAUGAAGCAGACUGUCAGUAAUGCAAAGCACACACUAACAUAUGUAAUUCUCUUAAAAAGUAAUUUCUGAAGUUUUGAAAGGCCCAAAUAUGAAUCAAGCUGAAGGCAGGAGGAUAUCCAUGAAAUGAAAAAUAAAAUAUUCAUGUGAUAAAAUGCUUGUAAGAACCAAGGUAGGAUAUACAGUAACUAGAAAGAAAGGAAACCAAUGAAACCGCAACCUAAGAAAAUAUGGUCAAGAGCACAAGUGCCAACCCUACCCCGUGUAUUCAAACAAACAAAUAGGCUGUUCAUGCAAAUAACUUCAAUAAUGUUUUCACUUAGAAGAAGGCAGUGAUGUUGGAAAGAUCUGGAUGCAAUUAUUUUUUACAAAAGAAGGAAAGGAAGGAAAGGAAGGGCAGGAAGGAAAGGAAGGAAAAUAAGGAAGGAAAAGAAGGGAGGAAGGGAGGCAGGAAGAAGCCCCCCCAGAAAAACAACAAGCAGAAAGAAAAAGCUCCGCUCAUGAGGCAUCCUAUCCAUUCUUCAUAGUUUGUGAACACCCACCUAAAAUAUGUGCCAUUACGCCACUUGUUUUUAAAUCUGCACAUUGGAAAAGGCAGAUCAUACUUCUAAAAUUCAUUGGGUAUUUUUAUAAUAUAAUCUGGCUACAGGAAAAUAUCAAAACUGAAUGAUGACACUGAAUGAUUUACCAGGAAUAUUGAACACUUGUUAAAGAUAGGAAUAAAAUGCCAUUUUCUUUCUCACAGCCUAAAAACAAGCCUUUAGAAGAUGUAGAUGAUCAAAGAUUUUCUCCAAUGGCAGCAUACCGAUUUAUACCAAUUUAUACAAUUGAUACCAGCUUUUACAAAUCUUUGCAUGUCUAGAGAAAGGUGAGGUUUACUGUAGGAAUUCCCCGAGUCAUUAAUUGAUUGAAUAAGAGAAAAUAAAGUUUUCCCAUAUGUGAUGGAAACAGCAAGAAAAAUGUAUUAUCUCCACAGACAGCAGAAAAGAAAAACUUAGCAUGAAUUUUAGAACAUUUCCUUAGUCACUGUUCUGAUUUCCAGAACAUGAACAUCUUUUGUAUCAAACAAAAAGUUCUGUUUACUUCCUAUCUGAAGUUACAUAUUUAAAAAGGGAUCAACAAACCCUGUUAAGGUGUGAAGUUUGGUACAGGAACUGACAAAAAGAUGGAGGAGAAAUUGCAAUGACUCUUGCUAUGCUGGUGCCAAUCCCCACCUCAUGCCUUAAAUUUUCACACUGAGCCCUUUUAUCAGGAAAAUUUGGGGCAGGUUGUGAUAGCCAUUUUGUUGUAGUAAGUCUGCACUAAUAUACCUAAGCGUGUGAGAAUUCUCAAUGACUGUCAUAGAAUCAUAGAAUCACCAAGGUUGGAAAAGACCUAAAAGAUCAUCCAGUCCAACCAUUCACCUAUUACCAAUAGCUCCCACUAAACCAUGUCCCUCAACACAACGUCCAGUCUUUCCUUGAACACACCCAGGAUCGGUGACUCCACCAACUCCCUGGGCAGUCCAUUCUCUGUCAUUCAGACACAGGGAGAAUCUGUCUCUGUGGUUUCAUAAUUUACCAACCAGUAUUCUAGUUGUUUUUAUACCAAAUGAUAAAGUAAACAUGUUAGGUGGGUUUGUUAUUUUUUGUUUAAUUACUCAUUCUUUUUACUAAAAAUUCUAUAAAGAUGAGUAAUCUGUGAUGCAGCUGGAUGCAGGCUGUGAUAAAAGUCCAACUAAACAGCACAAAAUGGUAUUAGCUCCAGAAUGAAUGUGCCAGUUUCUAUUUCACUUUUCCUUGAGGCUAAAAUUUUAUCCUUUCUUGCUCUUCUUUUUAUUAUGCCCUGGUGUUCAGAAGGCAGAACUGUGCUACAGGUGACAACACAGUCUAUUAAGCCUGCAAUGUGUGCAGACUAUUACAGGCUAUCUUGGGGUCUGCGCUUUUCCUUCUUGCCUGCACAUUGCCGUACCUUGGUGACCUUGGGUUCCUUUCAGUCUUACAGAGCAUUCCUCUGCUGGAGAGUGGUGGUUUAAAAAAAAAGAUAAGAAAGAAAAUCCUCAUUAAGAAUAAAGUUGCACCGUCUGUCGUACAUCUUGUGGCAACAGCUGAACUAAAAUGUCUUGGCUUCCCAGGGUUCUGAAUGCUUCCAGUACAAGUCAGGAAAAUAGGAACAGGAACGGAGGAUGUGGAUGCAGGUUUCCUCAUCUGCAGAAGACGGUCUGAAGCAAAACAAAAGUUUUGCUGUUGCACUUUACAAGAUGAUGGAAGAAACAUGAGAACUGGGGCAAGAACUACAAAGAAUAUUACAAUCUAAUUUACCAGUAUUCCUCUGUGAAAUGACAUCAUUUUGUGUACUUAAAAUAAGGUAAAGAUUCACUGUAGGGUUGCCUAAUUUUGGUUAUGUUGACAGUUAAUGCAGCACAAAAGGCUCCUUACUUACUGUUACCGUUACCUGGACAAAAGUUUAUCUCAUGUUGCUUCUCAUGAGUGAAUUUCAGUGUGCACUGCAGGCUUUUGUUGGCAUGCACUUUUGCUUGAUUCUGCAAUGAGAAGCUGCAUGCAGAAUGUCCCGUAAAGCUUACUGGCACAAACAUUGCUUUUGCCAUCAUAUUCUAUACACUCCUACUUCAGUAUCCUAUUUCUAUAUACUCUUCCCUGGAAAUGUAAAGAAAAAUGAAACAAAAUAACUUGCAUCAAAACAUAUUAGCUUAUGAGUGUUUAAACUCCCGUGUCUGGAAAUGCCAGCUUGAUUUAUUUUGCAUGCAAUUGUCCAAAUGAUUAAUCAGAUACUUCUUUCACGGUUUUUACAAUACAUUCCUUCACACUUUCCCCAUUUCAUGGUGUUUUCCUGAUGCAAACUCUCUUUCAUUUUUUUCUUCUCUCUUUCAUCCAGUGAUUCAAAUUAACUAUGUCACUUGCAGAUUAAGCUGAACAAGGCAGGCAUGAAUCCUCAGAAGUACUUAGGCAAAUGAAUAGAAAUUAGGUUCCUAAGCCAUUCUGGUGAUUUAGACCUUGGUCUUAACAUUUUUCUUCACCUCCUCAGCAGCUGCUUAGACAAAUCAGCCAGAUUUCCUCUCAAGUGAUGGUAACAGACUGAAAUGCAUUGUUUGUAGCUUUCCACAUUUAAAAGGUAGAAAACAAGAAUAAUAAUAAGGCAUCAAUGUACCUGUUUAAUAAUUAUUUCUGAUAUUUGAGGUCUAUUAUGCAGCUGUUUAAUGUUCUUUUAGCUGUGAAAAAUAUCUUUGCAGUCUCAUAAUUUUGCAUAAAGAAUAUCGAUGUGAAUUGUAUUGAUUGACACCUUAUAUUAAAACAUUUGAUCAGUG